GACUGCUAUCGGAUGAUACUAAGCCAUGCGAGUCAUUGUAGCAAUACAAGGCAGACGGCUCAGUAACGCGUAGUCAACCUACCCUAUGGACGGGAAUAACCUCGGGAAACUGAGUAUAAUGCCCGAUAGAACAUUAUGCCUGGAAUGGUUUAUGUUCCAAAUGAUUUAUCGCCGUAGGAUGGGACUGCGGCCUAUCAGUUUGUUGGUGAGGUAAUGGCCCACCAAGACUAUUACAGGUACGGGCUCUGAGAGGAGUAGCCCGGAGAUGGGUACUGAGACACGGACCCAGGCCCUAUGGGGCGCAGCAGGCGAGAAAACUUUGCAAUGUGCGAAAGCACGACAAGGUUAAUCCGAGUGGUUUCUGCUAAAGGAACCUUUUGUUAGUCCUAAAAACACUAACGAAUAAGGGGUGGGCAAGUUCUGGUGUCAGCCGCCGCGGUAAAACCAGCACCUCAAGUGGUCAGGAUGAUUAUUGGGCCUAAAGCAUCCGUAGCCUGCUCUGUAAGUUUUCGGUUAAAUCUGUAUGCUCAACAUACAGGCCGCCGGAAAUACUGCAGGGCUAGGGAGUGGGAGAGGUAGACGGUACUCGGGAGGAAGUGGUAAAAUCCUUUGAUCUAUUGAUGACCACCUGUGGCGAAGGCGGUCUACCAGAACACGUUCGACGGUGAGGGAUGAAAGCUGGGGGAGCAAACCGGAUUAGAUACCCGGGUAGUCCCAGCCGUAAACGAUGCAGACUCGAUGAUGCAUUGGCAUAAUAGCCAAUGCAGUGUCGCAGGGAAGCCGUUAAGUCUACCGCCUGGGAAGUACGUACGCAAGUAUGAAACUUAAAGGAUUAGCGGGGAGCACCACAAGGGGUGAAGCCUGCGGU
rnacentral:rRNA from 1 species